UGGACGAAAGUCUGACCGAGCAACGCCGCGUGAGUGAAGAAGGUUUUCGGAUCGUAAAGCUCUGUUGUAAGAGAAGAACGGGUGUGAGAGUGGAAAGUUCACACUGUGACGGUAUCUUACCAGAAAGGGACGGCUAACUACGUGCCAGCAGCCGCGGUAAU
rnacentral:rRNA from 1 species